GACGAACGCUGGCGGCGUGCUUAACACAUGCAAGUCGAACGGUGAAGCGCCUUCCUUUUUGGUGGGUGUGGAUGAGUGGCGAACGGGUGAGUAACACGUGAGUAACCUGCCCCCUUCUUCUGGAUAACCGCAUGAAAGUGUGGCUAAUACGGGAUAUUCUGGGUCUGUCGCAUGAUGGGUCUGGGAAAGAUAUUGUUUCGGUGGGGGAUGGGCUCGCGGCCUAUCAGCUUGUUGGUGGGGUGAUGGCCUACCAAGGCGGUGACGGGUAGCCGGCCUGAGAGGGUGGACGGUCACACUGGGACUGAGACACGGCCCAGACUCCUACGGGAGGCAGCAGUGGGGAAUAUUGCACAAUGGGCGCAAGCCUGAUGCAGCGACGCCGCGUGAGGGAUGGAGGCCUUCGGGUUGUGAACCUCUUUCGCCAGUGAAGCAGGCCUGCCUCGUUUGUGGGUGGGUUGACGGUAGCUGAAGAAGAAGCGCCGGCUAACUACGUG
rnacentral:rRNA from 1 species